rnacentral:rRNA from 1 species
UACGGAGGGUGCAAGCGUUAUCCGGAUUUACUGGGCGUAAAGGCGCGUAGGCGGCCACUGCAAGUCGGUUGUGAAAUCUCCGGGCUUAACCCGGAAAGGUCAAUCGAUACUGCAGGGCUAGAGUGCAGAAGGGGCAACUGGAAUUCUCGGUGUAGCGGUGAAAUGCGUAGAUAUCGAGAGGAACACCUGCGGCGAAGGCGGGUUGCUGGGCUGACACUGACGCUGAAGCGCGAAAGCUAGGGGAGCGAACGGG